rnacentral:tRNA from 1 species
GGUUUUAUAUUCAAGUAUGAUUUUAAAUUGCAAAUUUAAAGGUGGAGAUUAGUCUUUUAAAGCCU